rnacentral:rRNA from 1 species
AAAUUGAAGAGUUUGAUCAUGGCUCAGAUUGAACGCUGGCGGCAGGCCUAACACAUGCAAGUCGAACGGUAACAGGAAGCAGCUUGCUGCUUCGCUGACGAGUGGCGGACGGGUGAGUAAUGUCUGGGAAACUGCCUGAUGGAGGGGGAUAACUACUGGAAACGGUAGCUAAUACCGCAUAAUGUCGCAAGACCAAAGAGGGGGACCUUCGGGCCUCUUGCCAUCGGAUGUGCCCAGAUGGGAUUAGCUAGUAGGUGGGGUAACGGCUCACCUAGGCGACGAUC